rnacentral:tRNA from 1 species
ACUUUAGUAGUUUAAUUAAAAUAUUGAUUUGUGGUGUCAAUGAUGCAUUUUUUGCCUUGGGUU